GCUUUUGGUGUGUUUUUCGUUUAUUUGAAAAAUGAGGCCUGACAGGUAGUGAUUGCGCAAUGAGCCAGAGCAUCUCUGUUCUCUAUAUAAAGGCAGCUAACUUGUGGUCUAGUACAACAGAAUUCAGAAGACCAGCUGACUUCUUACUGCCGAUCACCGACUGUCAACAGACACGUAAGUCUUUAAGAAUUUAUUAUUUUCUUGACGUGGACGAUUCAUUUUUCUAUCUCAGAUCAUGCACUGGUCAAUUUU